rnacentral:rRNA from 1 species
GAUGAACGCUGGCGGCGUGCCUAAUACAUGCAAGUCGAGCGAACGGACGAGAAGCUUGCUUCUCUGAUGUUAGCGGCGGACGGGUGAGUAACACGUGGAUAACCUACCUAUAAGACUGGGAUAACUUCGGGAAACCGGAGCUAAUACCGGAUGAUAUUUUGAACCGCAUGGUUCAAAAGUGAAAUACGGUCUUGCUGUCACUUAUAGAUGGAUCCGCGCUGCAUUAGCUAGUUGGUAAGGUAACGGCUUACCAAGGCAACGAUGCAUAGCCGACCUGAGAGGGUGAUCGGCCACACUGGAACUGAGACGCGGUCCAGACUCCUACGGGAGGCAGCAGUAGGGAAUCUUCCGCAAUGGGCGAAAGCCUGACGGAGCAACGCCGCGUGAGUGAUGAAGGUCUUCGGAUCGUAAAACUCUGUUAUUAGGGAAGAACAUAUGUGUAAGUAACUGUGCACAUCUUGGCGGUACCUAAUCAGAAAGCCACGGCUAACUACGUG